rnacentral:rRNA from 1 species
AAGGAAUAUUGGUCAAUGGACGCAAGUCUGAACCAGCCAUGCCGCGUGAAGGACGAAGGUCCUCUGGAUUGUAAACUUCUUUUAUCUGGGACGAAAACGGGAUUUUUAUCUCAAUUGACGGUACCAGAGGAAUAAGCACCGGCUAACUCCGUGCCAGCAGCCGCGGUAAUACGGAGGGUGCGAGCGUUAUCCGGAUUUACUGGGUUUAAAGGGUGCGUAGGUGGGCUUAUAAGUCAGUGGUGAAAUCUCCGAGCUUAACUUGGAAACUGCCGUUGAUACUAUAGGUCUUGAAUUAUCUGGAGGUAAGCGGAAUAUGUCAUGUAGCGGUGAAAUGCUUAGAUAUGACAUAGAACACCAAUUGCGAAGGCAGCUUACUACAUAUAAAUUGACGCUGAGGCACGAAAGCGUGGGGAUCAAACA